GUUUAGUUAUGAAUGAAACAUUUUUAAUGUGUAUUGAUGUUUCCCCUUUUGAUGGUUAUUUUUGGGUUGCUGUUGAACUGAAAUAAGAGAAUUUGGUAACUGAUUGAGCUGCAUACAGGUAUAUGUUGAGUAAAUUAGUGGUUAAAGUAUAUUGAAAGCAGGUGCUUCAACACAGGUGUGAUUCCUGAGCAAUUAGCACCCUAUCAUGCUUACGGUCAAGUAUACAAAGUUGGCUUUAUGUUGUCUGCUAUGCUUUCAAACAGUGACAAUGCCCCUGAGAUUUAGAUGGCAGGAGCCACUCAAAGCUUUGAUGUCAGUUAUCUGUGUCUAGGGAACUCCCUAGCAAGAAAUUUAGUAAUAUUUUAUGUGAGAAUGAAAACAUUUUAAAAUGUCUAAUUCUUGACUUGGGUUUACACACUUUCUUACAUAGAGUUUAAGGAGAGAAGUAAGUUAUUGCACAACCCAUUUCUGCUGGUACCUCUGUGUCCUCACCAAGCCCUGCUUCAGACAGACUGUUUCAGCGCUUGCUUACAGAGUCCAGUUCUUCAGCCUCGGCUCCAUCUGUGUCGUCCUCCCAUCUGGCUAGGUGUCCAGUAUCCAGCGUUCUGUCCCUGCUGCCCCCCCCCGUAGACCCAGCCCUACAGCUGCCACUGCCCGCCCGGACUCCGUACAGUCCCAGUCCGGCUUCACCAUGGUUUGGUGUGAGGACAUGGAGUGUGGGGUUUGCUACCAACCCUACUCCCGUGAGGAGCGGGUCCCCCGAGUUCUGCACUGCAGACACACCUUCUGCGCCACCUGCUUAGAGACCAUUUCCCUGCCGAAGAGUGGCCUGCUCACCGUGCGUUGCCCACUCUGCCGACAGACCACUUGUAUAGGUCGCGGCCUUACGCUCCACGAAGCGUUGUGGGUCAAUUCGCGCCUCUGGGACAACAUUUCUGAAAGUGAAGAAGAGCAGGACCAGGUGAUAGAGGUGAUGGAUGAGGAGGAGGAGGAGGAAGAAGAAGAAGAGGGGAUGGAGGCUAAUGUACCGACACACGCUGCCUCACAAGCCAAAGGCCCUACUCCAAAGCCCACAAGACCAAAACUUAAACUACCAGCCUUCUUCAGGAAAUUCAUUCUGUCAAAACCACAGCACCAAGAGCGGAUUGUGCCUGUCUGUACCAAUGUGGAGAUGAAAUCCUGGCGCAGGCUUUCAGCUGCUGAGACCUUUUAGUAGGUCAGCCACAUAUUGAUGGACUAUUCAGGAUGCGCAGUCAGCUGCUUCAGCCAACGCGCAGUCAACUGCUUCAAGUCAACUUUUCUGCUCUUCUGCCAGCCUCUUAUGGAAUUGCUAUGCCCUCAUUCUUUACUGUCAUGUCACAGACACUGAAGAUGGGGCUGACUGGAGCACCAGCAGAUCAGAAGAGUUCCUCUGGGAUUGCAGCAAUUGUCUCUUUCAACAAGGUGUACAUUACCAGCUGACCCAACUGUCAACCCUGUCAGGAGAGUUUAGAGACGGUGUUCCAAAUGGCACUCCUGUGGUUAAAAGUAGUGGACUACAUAGGGAAUAGGAUCUGAUUUGGGAGACCCUCAGAGAGAAAUCUAGAAUCUAUCCAUGUGUCUGACUGACAAGACAGGCUUCAUUGUUGAAGCACUGACAUCUCCACAGUUUCUCCCGUCUCCCUCCCCAUUAGUUAUUCUGGCUGUAAUUUUUCACAGCUGGUGCAUUGGGAUUUUGGAUUUGGUUCAGCUGUCCCUUUAUAGGACAGACAGCCUAGUGGAAGCCAGGGUAACCCCCCCCCCUUUACUUAACAGAUGCCCCCCCCCCCCCCCCCCCGAAGAUGAUCCCUCCCCUCCACUUUCCAGUGUCAGCAAACAAAAUAUUUAAUUUAUUGUCAGCUUUUGUAUUUAUGUUCAUUUUUAAAAACUUUUAAAUAAAAACGUUUAGCAAAAAG
ensembl:lncRNA